AAUUAAUUUGUUUCCGCUCGUCGUACUUCGGUUGCAUAUUUUCCGCCAUUUUCUUUAGAUCUGAAAACGUUGUGAAGCCACGCCCAUUUCCUGAAGAAUUGCAUUUUGGGCCCUAAAAGUACGGAAAUGGUGUUCAUUGCGUGUAUACUUCGUAUUUUGGCGAAUGUAGUUCGACAUGGCCAACGAUCAAGAAAGCACGAAAGGAGGGAAAGGAUGCUUACUUCGUCGAAGGACGAGGCUUCAUCAACGUUUCAGAAAUCCAUAUUAAUCCCUAAAAUCUCACCAGAAGGAACAGAUUGAUGGUUUCGGCCAUGUCUCACUCAAUUUCGGCUGAUGCCAACUUCUGGAGGUCACAGUGCGGCAACGAUAUUUGGCUUUCCCACGGAUCUGAACGCUCCGCUGGUGUCACUACAAUAAAAAAUACCUUUGGUGGUACUAUUCUACAC